rnacentral:rRNA from 1 species
AUUGAACGCUAGCGGCAUGCCUUACACAUGCAAGUCGAACGAGUGGCGGACGGGUGAGUAAUAUAUCGGAACGUGCCUAGUAGCGGGGGAUAACUACUCGAAAGAGUGGCUAAUACCGCAUACCAUCGGAUCUGCCGAUAUCGGAUUAGCUUGUUGGUGGGGUAAAGGCUCACCAAGGCAACGAUCCGUAGCUGGUUUGAGAGGAUGACCAGCCACACUGGAACUGAGACACGGCCCAGACUCCUACGGGAGGCAGCAGUGGGGAAUAUUGGACAAUGGGGGAAAGCCUGAUCCAGCCAUGCCGCGUGUAUGAGAAGGCCUUCGGGUUGUAAAGUACUUUUGGCAGGGAAGCGUUAUCUGCAGAAUAAGCACCGGCUAACUACGUGCCAGCAGCCGCGGUAAUAC